UAACCAUGAUGUGGGCAAGUGAGUAAAAGGUCUUUGAAACUCUCCCAAGCUUGGAAAAAUAAUUUAUUCCCCCUUUUGAAAAAAUGACAUGAUUUCCUGUUUAAGUGC